UACGUAGGGUGCAAGCGUUAAUCGGAAUUACUGGGCGUAAAGCGUGCGCAGGCGGUUUUGUAAGCCAGAUGUGAAAUCCCCGGGCUUAACCUGGGAAUGGCAUUUGGGACUGCAAGGCUGGAGUGCGGCAGAGGAGACUGGAAUUCCCGGUGUAGCAGUGAAAUGCGUAGAUAUCGGGAGGAAUACCGAUGGCGAAGGCAGGUCUCUGGGCUGACACUGACGCUCAUGCACGAAAGCGUGGGGAGCAAACAGG
rnacentral:rRNA from 1 species